GACGAACGCUGGCGGCGUGCCUAACACGUGCAAGUCGAACGCGAAAGGGGCUUCGGCCCUGAGUAGAGUGGCGUCCGGGUGAGUAACGCGUGGGUAAUCUACCCUCGGGUGGGGAAUAACCAAUCGAAAGAUUGGCUAAUACCGCAUAAUGCAGCGGCUCGACAUCGAGACAGUUGUUAAAGCAGCAAUGCGCCAGAGGAGGAGCCUGCGUCUGAUUAGCUUGUUGGGAGGUAAUGGCUCACCAAGGCAACGAUCAGUAGCUGGUCUGAGAGGAUGAUCAGCCACAUUGGGACUGAGACACGGCCCAAACUCCUACGGGAGGCAGCAGUGGGGAAUAUUGGACAAUGGGCGAAAGCCUGAUCCAGCCAUGCCGCGUGAGUGAUGAAGGCCUUA
rnacentral:rRNA from 1 species